rnacentral:rRNA from 1 species
UGGGUUUGACAUCCUCUGACCGUCUGGGAAACCAGAUUUUUCCGGUUCUGCCGGAACAGAGUGACAGGUGCUGCAUGGCUGUCGUCAGCUCGUGUCGUGAGAUGUUGGGUUAAGUCCCGCAACGAGCGCAACCCUUAUUUUUAGUUGCCAGUAUUAAGUUAGGCACUCUAAAGAGACUGCCUCGGUUAACGAGGAGGAAGGUGGGGAUGACGUCAAGUCCUCAUGGCCUUUAUACCCAGGGCUACACACGUGCUACAAUGGGCUGUACAAAGGGUCGCCAAUCCGCGAGGAUGCGCUAAUCCCAAAAAGCAGCUCUCAGUUCGGAUUGGAGUCUGCAACUCGACUCCAUGAAGG